GGGGGGGCAGACAUGUGAAAAAUUUUAGAGAAACCUAAAAUUCAGAAAGCGAGGGCCAGAAGCGACCAAUAUUACCUAGGGCCGUUUUGUGCAUUUUCUAAAGUAAAAUUGAAGGAUGUCAUGCAAUUCUCUUUUUGAUGAAGGUUUCAUAUUUCAGCUCUUACCCAAACCCCUCCCCCUAUACAUACGGCCAUGAAAAAGAUCACUUCUUAUUAUUGUUCUCUCUUUUCUUUCACAAACAGGUUGAGUAUGAAGAACAAGAAAAACAGUAGAGGUCUACCUAUAUGGUACAAGAUGAUGAUCAUAAGUGCAUGCAUCAUUUUGCAGAUUCUCAUCCAGGAUGAUGCAGUUUUACAAUUUCCAUGGAGGUGAUUGAUGAUGAUAAAUAAUUGGUGAAGUAGGCCUAAUAGAACAGCGACUAGACCACAAAGAGAAAUACAACCUACAGCAGUUGUAUGAGACUGGUGUAACAGAUGUUUUCAUUCAAGAAAUCCAACAAUUCAACAUUGAAGAGUCUGACUUAGGAACCAUUUGAUGAAGAUGGAAAAGGUUUUUUUUUCCAAGUCCAAUUUAAAAAAAAUAUAUAUAUUAUCACAACCCCAAAUUCAUGACGUAUAAAAUAUCUUGUUGAUUUUCAUUAAAACUGGUUGCAAAAGGAGAAGCUAUAAACAUACAAAUAGGAGCGGCGGAGUGAAGUUGAAAGUGGGGGGGGGGGGGCAUAGGGAAAAUGCUGUAUUACGUGAAAUUUUUAAGAAGUUGCGAGCGAGCAAAAUUUUGACAUUUUAAAAAAGAAAAUCUAAAAUAUUCAGAAUGAUAUAUUUCACCCUUUUCUUUCCUUUUCUCUUUUUUUUUCUUGGUCGUGAUUUUUUUUUUUUUGGGGGGGGGGCAAGAGUCCUUCAAGCCCCCCUCCAUCUGUACGAAACUGCUUAUAUACCCCCACUCAUGAAUUAUUAAACUUAAUGCGCAAAGGAUUUCCUUCAUAAGUAUAUUAUCGAAAUGAGAAUAUUGUUUUCUUGUUUCAAAGGGCAAUCAUCAUGGUGACCAUAAAACGGGUCCUUCUCAUGUGAAAGGGGCAAAGAACAAGUUCUUUAGGAGCACUUUUCUUGGGUAAAAGGGGGCAGUGAUUCGAGAAAGGGCACUUACAAGAAGGCGAGGGGGCACUCUUUAACACAUGAAACAGGCCCUCAGAUGAAAGGGCACAGAACACGUUCCGGGGGGGGGGGCAUUUUUGGGUUAAAAAAUUGCAUACAAGGAAGAGCACUUGGUAACACCUAAAACAGGUUCUCGUCAGGUGAAAGGGACACAGUACACGUUCGUGAGGGGGCAUUUUUCUUGCAUAAAAAGGCACUUUUCAGUGCUUCAAGAAGUAGGGGGAACUGUGCCCCCCCCCCCUCCCCAGGAUCGCUGCCCCAGCAUACAAAAAACAAUUCUUUUGGUUCAAAGUAUUAACAUACGCUUAAGAAAAAGGUAAAGCUUAAUCCUCUAAUAAUGUGAUAUUUUUUAUGGCUAAUUAAUAAAAUUCACCACUAACCAGAGAAUUCCUUUAUGUCUUUCAUUUGUGUUCAUAUAGUAUUUGUACAGAGCUAAAAUUAAAGGGAUUUGGAAUUGGCAAAAUUCAAAAUGAGAUGAAGAUCGAGAGAGGGAAAGAGUGAUGAGAAGUGGGUUGAAAAGAGAUGAGAAAGAAAUGGAGGGGCACAUAUGAAGAGAUAAUUUAGAGGGGGUGGUAAGAGAGCUAGAAUGUGGGAAGUAGGAACAAAAGGGGUGGAAGAGAAAUAAGACGAGAUUUAUGGAAACCAGGAGACAGAUAACAAGUGGGAAAAGAAGAAGGAAAUAUAUGAAGAGUUUAGUUGCAAAAGGGGUUAGGACCAUUCCGAGAAAAAACAUGUUUUUAUUCUCACUUAUUGCAAUAUUCUCAUGAGAAACUAAAUUGUCAUGAUGAACUACUCUAUCAUGUUAACAUAAAAUUGGGUAUAAAAGAAAUAUACCUGCCUUCAAUUUUUUUCUAUAUACUU